UGGCCACUAAUCGCACUUUUUUCCUGCUUCUUUGUGUAGCAGGUAUUUAAAAACAGCAACAAGCCGAAUCAGUCGCGACUUUUUCCCCUUAACGCUCCGAGACUCCUAUUUUUCCCUCUAAUGUUUGAUCAAAACAGCUUUUUGAUGAUUUUUUUUUUCUUUGCGCAGACUGGAAAGGAGCUUUGAUUUUAUUAUUAUUGUUUUUUUUUAUAACGAUUAUCUUUCAGAUCAGAGAUUCGAUCCUCAGUGGAAGAACACAGUGUUAUGGAGGGACAUACACGCAAAAUGUUUCUAACGUGCAUACGGUCACGGAAGGCCCACCCUCGCCCCCUCCUGCCGCUGCCUGCACCUCCUGAUCCCCCAUCACCAGGGAGAGGGUAAUUUAAGCUCCAUGCGAUGCACCCUAUUCAUCACUGUCCCUCUGACCCGCUUCAAAAUUAAAGUCUGAUCUGCAAAGUUAAAGCGAAAUGAGAUAGAAAUUGGCAGAGGUCAAGAAGGGUAAGACCCCUCAAAACACAAGGUGCUGUUUUGGCUGUUUGUGAUUUAUGUUUUUCAGUAUAAGAAAUUAAUACAUUAACCCAAUAAAAUCAGCCCAAGCUCAUGCCUGUAGCUCUGUGUCACUGCUGGCUGGAGAGUGGAGAGUAUACAUCAGUUAGGGCAGUUAUUAAGAGGGAAUGAGUGACUGGAAGUCACCUGUAUUAUUUUUGGAGCACUUGUUUCCUGAGGGUGGAGAAUUCUAGCUUCGGUUAUUUUGAUUAUCGAUAAUGAAAGCAGAUGAUGUAAAACUGUGGUGUGUUUCCUAGAAAAGAUGAAUCUUACAUCUUAAGUGUUUCCUGAAAGCUUUUGUUACGUAUUACUUGGUAUUUCACAGACUCCACCUAGACUAGCAAAAAGUUAUUGAGAGUAAACAAUCAGUUUUACAGUCCAGAGGAAAGGGGUCAGGAAUGAAAACAAUAAGAACAGUCUAUAUAGAUAUAUGCAUCAUAAACAAUUUACAACUUUUAUUAUUAUUAUUAUUAUUAUUAUUAUUAUUAUUUAGGAUGAUAAGGCAGGUAAAUUCUUUUGUAAAUCUCAUGGUAUGUUGUCCACAAAAAAAAUAAAUAAAUAAAAUUAAUUUUUGAAAAUAAAAUAAAUAAUAUUAAUAUUAAAAGCAGUUCUAAAAGUCACCUUUAGAAGCACAAUAUGUAAGAUAUUUAAUGGUUUUUAAUCUUUAAUCUUAAAUAUUUUAUUACACAAUUUAUUUUCACACUGUUAGACUUUGUAUAUUUGGAUAUUCUUGCUCUUUUAUAUAAAAAAAGAACUUUAUAAUAAUGUUUAAAAAUAUGGAAAAGUAAAAAAAAAAAAAUAACAUAUAGAGCAACAAGCUUCUUUUAUAUCUCAGUUGUGUUUUUAUUGUAGCCUGAUGUUGGUCAGGAAAUGUAAUAUUCUGCUCUUCCAUUUCUCUCCUCAUCCUCCUCGACUUCCACAAGUUUUAGGCAGCUGUUUCCCUUUUCUGGUAUUCUUCUAAAUCCCAUUUAUAAUCCCAUCCAAUAUGCAUAUUGCUCCUUUCCCCCUGCUUUGAGGCUUGAGAUAAAAUUGUUCCUCGGCUAUGGUCUGUGAGUGAGAAAAAGGUGGUAGCAAAUAGACAUGUACUAGAAAUCCGCUUUCACUCUGUAGCCAAGUCCCCAUUCUUUACUCUCUGGAAAACUGCAGUUGGUCCAAAUAAAAGUCUCAGGAGUACUCCCUGACCACUUAUCCACAGUGUCUAUAAAAAGUCUUUGGUGGUCACACCUACAGAGACACAAUGAAAUUUCUUUCUGGAAGCUGUUGGGGUCUUUUGCUUAUUGCAAACUAUUCCAAAUUCUGGAUGAAAAUUUUAUGAAGCUGUACACAAGGCACAGUAGUACUGUAAGUCAGCAUGGUUAAGGUUUUGUGUUUUUAUCUGUUACCCAAACAAAAAGGGUCAUUUUUUCCCUUUUGAUGCCCAUAAGCAGGCUAUCAGGGUCUGGCCUCAUGACUGGCACUGAGAGACAACAGCCACCCUGAAAAUAACCCUGAUUACUUCCCCAGCUCUGACGUCUAAUUUCUUAGAAAUAUAUUACCACUUACAAAUGGAGAAUUAAUUAAUUAUGUGGAACCCGGGGUGGAUAUACAUUUCACAGAUUAAAGCAGUGUAAUAUUUUUGUUGAUAUACGACUAUUAAGCUGCACAUGCAAGUGGGUUUAUAUUUGAUCACGCUAUGGCAUUAGGCCAGCUUAGUGCAUCAACCAUCUUUAUUCUCACAUUUGAAAGACCAACAUCAAUGGGUAAAGUUGUAACAUGGUGACUGGACUAAUAAUAAGAGUUAAGUGCUUUCUUUUGGUGAAGAGUGAAUUGAAAAGCAGAUCUCUAAAAACUACAAAACCAAGCACAAAGCAACAACUGUUAGAGGAACAACAACAACAGUGUGAAUGGUAGUUAAUAAGAACCCAGUUUAGGCAAAAAGACCAGCAAGUGGUUUGUUUAUUUAUUUAUUUAUUUAUUUAUUUAGUGGGUAAGUGCCAAAAUUAACGGCAUUAGUCUUCGUCUUUUUUUUUUUUUUUUUAAAGCACUCAAGAUUAAAAUUACUAACAGGUCGAGUUACUUUUUAAUUUACAAACAAUUUACACGCUACAUUCAUUUAGAAGGGUUUUAAAAAAAAAAAAAACGCUUGUUAAUUAAAGACCAUUCUUAAGCUGAAGUUAAUAUUCUGUAAUUAACGUUAUGAAUCUUUUCUGAAACAGUACCACUUCUUUGCAGCCAUUUUUUUUUUUU